rnacentral:rRNA from 1 species
UUUGGAUGACCUGUGGGUAGGGGUGAAAGGCCAAUCAAACUCGGAGAUAGCUCGUACUCCCCGAAAUGCAUUUAGGUGCAGCGUUGUUAAGAGUGUCAUGGAGGUAGAGCUACCAAUAGGGCUAGGGGGCUUCACCGCCUACCAACCCCUGAUGAACUCCGAAUGCCAUGACACUGCAGCAGCAGUGAGGGCAUGGGUGCUAAGGUCCAUGUCCGAGAGGGAAAGAACCCAGACCAUCAGCUAAGGUCCCAAAAUAUAUGUUAAGUUGAAUAAACGCGGUUGGAUUGCACUGACAGCUAGGAUGUUGGCUUGGAAGCAGCCAUUCAUUUAAAGAGUGCGUAACAGCUCACUAGUCGAGCGUUCCUGCGCGGAAAAUAAUCGGGCAUCAAGUAUAUCACCGAAGCUAUGGUUCUAAAUUUAUUUAGAAGGUAGGGGAGCAUUGUAGCGGCGCUGAAGGUUUACUGCGAGGUAGGCUGGAGCUUCUACAAAAGCAAAUGUAGGCAUGAGUAACGAUAAACAGGGUGAGAUACCCUGUCGCCGUAAGACUAAGGGUUCCUCGUUCUAUGCUAAUCAGAACAGGGUUAGUCGGGACCUAACGCGAACCCGAAAGGGGUAGUGGAUGGAAAGCAGGUUAAUAUUCCUGCACCUGCUAUACAAUGAAAGUGACGGAGACAUGUAGUAUCUGGGGGCUGACGGAAUAGCCCGCUGAGCCUAGACUUCGGUCGAAGCGAAGGUAUGAAUUGUCUUCCAAGAAAAGCAAGUAUAGCGGCCCGUACCGUAAACCGACACAGGUAGUCGAGGAGAGUAUCCUAAGGCGCUCGAGUGAUCCGUGGCUAAGGAACUAGGCAAAAUGGUCUCGUAACUUCGGGAGAAGAGACGCUCCACUUGUUGGAGCCGCAGUGAAGAGGCCCAGGCGACUGUUUAGCAAAAACACAGGACUCUGCGAAAUCGAAAGAUGAAGUAUAGGGUCUGACACCUGCCCGGUGCUGGAAGGUUAAGGAAGGGGGUUAGCGUAAGCGAAGCUCUUGACUGAAGCCCCAGUAAACGGCGGCCGUAACUAUAACGGUCCUAAGGUAGCGAAAUUCCUUGUCGGGUAAGUUCCGACCUGCACGAAUGGUGUAACGAUCUGGGCACUGUCUCAGCCACGAGCUCGGUGAAAUUGAAGUAUCGGUGAA